AGCACAUCUUCACAUACGGAACCUGCCUCUUAUAUGUGGCAAUAAUUUUGUUAUUUUGCACUUUUCCUGAAAUUAAAGUUGGUAAUAUUGUGCACAUUGUCCCAUUUAAAAGCUCAUUGUUAUGUUGAGGAGAGCUGCUUGCUAUUUUUUUUAAUGGCUCAAAAAUGUUUUUUUCAUUUCUUUCACACAAUAUGUUUUCACAGUUUUGACUCCCUCAAAAAUAAAUGUAAAAGAAACAGCAGUUUGCCUAAUUGAAUUUUUAAUAGUAAUUAAUACUAUUUCCAGUAAGGCAUCCAGACUAUGAAGGAACAAAUAGGGAAUCAUAUAAUAAUCAUCAACUUUCAGUUUCUGAGGCCAGUAAUGUAUUAAAGUUCUUGAAAUGUUUGGAUUGACCGACCUUCAUUUUUUAAGUAAUAUUUUUUUGUUUAAUUAGUUAAUUCACUAUAUACCAACUCAACCUCUUCACAACUUUACAACUGAUGAUCUUAAACACAUUAAAAGACAAGAAAUUUAAGUAAUUAACUCUUGACGAGUUCAGCACAGCUGUUAACUGAAGUCCACUACCUUAUAAAGCUGUCUGAGAAAAUCCAGCCAAGAUGUGCAAAACUGUUAUAUAAGCCAGUUCAGAAAACAAUAUUUGGAAGAACGAUCCUGAUUUUUAAAUACAGUUUUUGUACAUCUUGGCAUGUUCUCCUCCACCAGUCUUACACACUGCUAUUGGGUAAGUUUAUGCCACUCCUAGGGCUAAAAUUCAAGCAGUUCAGCUUGGUUUGAUGGCUUGUGAUCAUCCAUCUUCCUCUUGAUUAUAUUCCAAAGGUUUUAAAUUUGGUAAUUUUAUCACUUAUCACUCUUACUGUAAUGUAAGGUGCAGUUGGUCAGAGUAAGUUAGUAAUAAUAAUCACACUGUGUAUCACGAUACCAGUAAUUAUCACAGUAAUAUCACCUCACCUCUGAGCUCCUCUAACUCUCCACAGACCACUGCUGCAUAUUAGAGCUGAACUCCGGCGCUGCUGCUGGAGAGCAGUAAACAGAGUGGGGGCUGUGUUGUCUCAGUCAUGGCGGUCACCGCGGAUCUCAUCCGAGAGAAACUCAUCUCUGAACUCGCUGCAGUGCACGUGGUAUAUGAGCCCCGCACACACUCCUGAAUAUACAGUACAAGGGGGGUCCAGAAGGCUGAGACCACCAGGGAGCAACACAGACAUCUGUAGUUAACAUGCAUGUCAAUCAUUUAUUAAAUUACAGUUUAUAUUGUUUAGGGAAAAAGUAGAAUCCGUAUUAAUAGUUGGCUUUGAGUGGAGUCCUGUAGACUAAUCCGCUGCCACUAUGAUCGGAGGAUCAGUUGCGUAUUUCCCGUGUAUGCGGAAGUGUUUUAAAUUUCGAGAAGGGUGAUGCUGCAGACCAGAGACCUAAAUGGGACACGAUCCUGUCAAUCAUGUUUUGCAUAAAACAAUUAAAUUCUUGCUCUUAGCUGUCAAUAAUAUUUUCCAUUGACCAAUUGCAAAGUAGAACAUCUAUCCAUAAUUUAUCAUAAUUUUAAUGCCUAAAUGUGAUCCCGGUUCUGCUCUGAAAAAAAAAAUAGCAUACUGCUUCAGUUUCUGAAUCAGUUUCUCUGAUUUUGCUAUUUAUAGAAAUAUGUUUAAGUAAAGUUUUAAGUUCAGAAAUCAAUAUUUGGUGGAAUAACCCAGGUUUUUAAUCACAGUUUUCAUGCAUCUUGGCAUGUUCUCCU
ensembl:lncRNA